UACGGAGGGUGCAAGCGUUAUCCGGAUUCACUGGGUUUAAAGGGUGUGUAGGCGGAUAUUUGAAGUCAGUGGUGAAAUCUCCAGGCUCAACCUGGAAACUGCCAUUGAUACUAUUUAUCUUGAAUUCUGUUGAGGUGGGCGGAAUACAUCAUGUAGCGGUGAAAUGCUUAGAUAUGAUGUAGAACACCGAUUGCGAAGGCAGCUCACUAAACAGCGAUUGACGCUGAGGCACGAAAGCGUGGGGAUCAAACAGG
rnacentral:rRNA from 1 species